rfam:Beta vulgaris subsp. vulgaris Bvchr2.sca004.con0021.1, whole genome shotgun sequence.
UGGUUGAUGAUGAGGCUUUAACAUAUAAGAUGAUCUUACUUUGUGUUUGAUCUUCGAUGAAAUACAUUUGUUAACGCUUGGCUUCUGAGACGA